rnacentral:ncRNA from 2 species
UGAUAAAGUAAAUUAAUCGCUGGUUUAAUACCCAUAAUUUGGUUGGGUAGUUUCUACCGGGUCACCUAAUGAUCCGACAAUUAAGCGAAAACAUAGUUUUC